GACGAACGCUGGCGGCGUGCUUAACACAUGCAAGUCGAACGAUGAAGCCUAGCUUGCUAGCUGGGUCAGAGGCGCACGGGUGAGUAAUACGUGACUGACCUACAACUGAUUAUGAGCUAAGCCUGGGCAAAUGGGUAUCAUACCGGAUACGACCAAUCUACGAUUGGAGUGUUGGUCGAAACCGUUAUGUGGUGGUAUUAGAUGGGCUCACGGCCUAUCAGCUUCUUGGCGUGGUAAUGGCUUACCGAGGCGACGACGCGUAGGCGGCCUGAGAGGGUCACCGGACACACUGGGACGGAGAUACGGCACAGACUCCUACGGGAGGCAACGGAGGAGAGUAGUGUACUAUAGGCGGAAGCCUGAUGCAGCGACGCCGCGUGGGGGGAGUCGUGCAGCGGGUUGUAAACCACUGUUAUCUUCGAAGAAGCGAAAGUGACGGUAGGUGCAGAGAAAGCGCCGGCUAACUACGUG
rnacentral:rRNA from 1 species